rnacentral:rRNA from 1 species
GGGGGAACCCUGAUCCAGCCAUGCCGCGUGUGUGAAGAAGGCCUUUUGGUUGUAAAGCACUUUAAGCAGUGAAGAAGAAGUUAUGGUUAAUACCCAUGAUGGAUGACAUUAGCUGCAGAAUAAGCACCGGCUAACUCUGUGCCAGCAGCCGCGGUAAUACAGAGGGUGCGAGCGUUAAUCGGAAUUACUGGGCGUAAAGCGAGCGUAGGUGGCUUAAUAAGUCAGAUGUGAAAUCCCCGGGCUUAACCUGGGAACUGCAUCUGAAACUGUUCGGCUAGAGUAGGUGAGAGGGAAGUAGAAUUCCAGGUGUAGCGGUGAAAUGCGUAGAGAUCUGGAGGAAUACCCGAUGGCGAAGGCAGCUUCCUGGCAUCAUACUGACACUGAGGUUCGAAAGCGUGGGUAGCAAACAGGAUUAGAUACCCUGGUAGUCCACGCCGUA